GCAGUGACGGUUCAGUGGUAGAAUUCUUGCCUUUCAAGCAGGAGACCAGGAUUCAAUUACCGACCUUUGCA
rnacentral:tRNA from 1 species